UAUACGAAGACGCGUGACCAGUGUGGUAUUUCUCUUUGUAUCAGGAGCAGGAAGGCAACACCUUAAAGCAGCAGAUGAGGUGAUUUGUGUUCAGGGUCAAUGAAGAGGAGAGAGUAUAGCUGGAUGAAUGCCGCAAGCGAGAAAGAAAGUAGUUGCUGGGUUUCACCAGCACCAUCUUAAUCAGAGGAUCAAGGCUCAAAGGUUGAAUCGGAAGUCCUGAAGUCGAGGCCCAUUGGCUGGAGCCCUGCGUAUACAAGUAUCUGCAAGUCCACCGGGGAAGUCGAAGCCCAAUGUCUGUGAGCCCAAGUCCAAGUACGAGUCAGCUGAAGGUCG